rnacentral:rRNA from 1 species
GAUGAACGCUAGCGACAGGCUUAACACAUGCAAGUCGAGGGGCAGCAUAUAAAUAGCUUGCUAUUUAUGAUGGCGACCGGCGCACGGGUGAGUAACGCGUAUGCAACCUACCUACAACAGGGGGAUAGCCCGGCGAAAGUCGGAUUAAUACCGCAUAAAACAGGGGUCCCGCAUGGGAAUAUUUGUUAAAGAUUUAUCGGUUGUAGAUGGGCAUGCGUAACAUUAGGUAGUUGGUGAGGGUAAUGGCCCACCAAGCCUACGAUGUUUAGGGGUUCUGAGAGGAAGGUCCCCCACACUGGUACUGAGACACGGACCAGACUCCUACGGGAGGCAGCAGUGAGGAAUAUUGGUCAAUGGGCGAGAGCCUGAACCAGCCAAGUCGCGUGAAGGAAGACUGCCCUAUGGGUUGUAAACUUCUUUUAUAGGGGAAUAAAAAGGUUUACGUGUAGACUAUUGCAUGUACCCUAUGAAUAAGCAUCGGCUAACUCCGUGCCAGCAGCCGCGGUAAUACGGAGGAUGCGAGCGUUAUCCGGAUUUAUUGGGUUUAAAGGGUGCGUAGGUGGAAGCUUAAGUCAGCGGUGAAAGUUUGGUCGCUUAACGAUAAAAUUGCCGUUGAAACUGGGUUUCUUGAGUAUAGAUGAAGUAGGCGGAAUGCGUGGUGUAGCGGUGAAAUGCUUAGAGAUCACGCAGAACUCCGAUUGCGAAGGCAGCUUACUAAGGUAUAACUGACACUGAAGCACGAAAGCGUGGGUAUCAAACAGGAUUAGAUACCCUGGUAGUCCACGCAGUAAACGAUGAUUACUAGGAGUUUGCGAUAUAAUGUAAGCUCUACAGCGAAAGCGUUAAGUAAUCCACCUGGGGAGUACGCCGGCAACGGUGAAACUCAAAGGAAUUGACGGGGGCCCGCACAAGCGGAGGAACAUGUGGUUUAAUUCGAUGAUACGCGAGGAACCUUACCCGGGAUUGAAAUGUACCUGACGAUCUGUGAAAGCAGAUUUCCAGCAAUGGCAGGUAUGUAGGUGCUGCAUGGUUGUCGUCAGCUCGUGCCGUGAGAUGUUUGGUUAAGUCCAAUAACGAGCGCAACCCUCGUCUUUAGUUGCUAACAUUUAGUUGAGAACUCUAAAGAUACUGCCAGCGUAAGCUGGAGGAAGGUGGGGAUGACGUCAAAUCAUCAUGCCCCUUACGUCUAGGGCUACAGGCGUGCUACAAUGGCCAGUACAACGAGUCGCAAUGUCGCGAGGCAAAGCAAAUCUCUUAAAGCUGGUCCCAGUCCGGAUCGUAGUCUGCAACUCGACUACGUGAAGUUGGAAUCGCUAGUAAUCCCGAAUCAGAAUGUCGGGGUGAAUACGUUCCCGGGUGUUGUACACACCGCCCGUCACGCCAUGGGAGUCGGUAAUACCUGAAGAUGGUAGCCUAACCUUUUAGGAGGGGGCCAUUCAGGGUAGGAUCGGU